AAGGAAAAAAAGGUACUUGUUACACUAAAAUUCUUCAAAAAAAAAACAUAUACCUGCAAAUGAAGGGGCCAAGAGCAGCUACCAGUUACUUUUCCUUUCUUGGUAGAAUUAUGUGCCACUUUCCUCUUCUUUGUUGGUGUGCCCUUAUUAUCUAUGCUAACAUUAACACCAUCUGUUCUCACUGCCUGGUAAACGCGCCUUUUUGCAAGCUCAAAUAUCCUAUGGCUUGAGUCAGCAAGUAUCCAAACUGAUCUGACACCUUCUGAUACUCUCAAUGUGUCAAGGUACUUCAAGUAUGUAACGGCGUCAUACCUACAGGUCCGGUAAAGAACAUAAGAGGGUGCCUAGUUUCCCUUUGAAACUAGAACAUGUCUAAUACUCUAAUUCUCAUAACUGACUCAGGGUCAGCAGAACAUUUUAUACUAAGCACAAACAUGAAUAAGAUACUAGGAAGGGGAUGUGAUCACUGAGAGGACAACUCCUACCUGACGAGGUAAUCAAGCAGCUUGCGUAGCGUCCUGAGGUCAGCCACAAGCUGCUUUGUCUUCUUCCCAAGAGUGUGCCAGAUGGGGUCGAGCUGCCUCCGGACGAUCUCAUCGAAGGACUUGAAGAGGCCCUUGUCGACGGUGAGGUCCUCAACAUCCACCUUGUUGGUGCGCCUAAGUUCCUUGAGACAAGCGUCCAUGGUAGCGAGGACAGCAGCCUGGAUACCCCUCAUGGGCGGCGUCAUGGGAACGCGCACGUCUACGACGUCAGGCGGGGCGCGUUCCAGGUCGGCUGCGGCGAGAACGUGGAAGCGGGGCCAGAGGUGGAGACGGCGGACGUAGAGGCUCUUCAUGGUACGCUCGGCCUUGGAGAAACCGGCGACCAUGGCAUGGGGGCAAUCGGAGAAGGCGUAAACGGGGAGAAGAUUGCGUUGACGGAGGAGGCGGCAGAUGAAGGCAUCGGAGGAGGUAUCGGUGGAGCGGUGGGCGGAGAGGAGGAGUAGGGCUUGGACGCGGGAGGGGAGGAGGCGGGAGGUGAGGAGGUCGGCGGCGAGGGCGCGGGGAGAGAGGAAGAGAGCAGCGCCAGAGGCGUAAAGGGUGGCGCGCUGCUGCGCGGCGAGGUCAGGGGGCACGUCGUGAACCUGCAGCUUGUCUUGGAGGCGGCGCCGGAUCCGGGCCUUGAGGGUAUCGGUGGCGGAGAGGACGAGGAGACAUCCUCCUCCAGCCGCGUUGCCGGGGGUCUGGUGGAGAUGGAGGAGGAGGGUAGCGGCUAGGGAAGCGAGAGGGAGACCCGAGGAGAGCACCACCAGACCUCCGUUCGGAUCUUCCACCAGAUCCGCCAACACCUGCUGCUCGAACGCAAGCAUCGCCGCUGCCGCCGCCGCCGCCGCCGCCGAGAGCGCGACGGCCUUCGCCUUCUUCCCGGUGUAAGUAUAUUCCAGCAGUUUCUCUAUUCCGCUCCAUGUCACUUCCUAUUUCAAACUUCAAUCUACAAAGUGUUAUACAUGUGUUGCUAGAGUAGAGCAGGUCUAGGGUGCUUUCAGUUUUACACUGCCAGAAAAGUCGGCUUUUAGAAAAAGCUAUUUCCUAGAUCUGGUCCUUUAGGACCUGUUUGAGAGAGUUUUGUUUCAAAAAAUUCAGCUUUGGUUUUCCAGUUUCACUAUAAAACAGCUCCAGCAAAUUGUUAAGCUGAGUUCCAGGAGCGUUUGGUUUGUAUAUGAACUCCAACUUCUAUAGUACAAUUGAUUUGUGUGGGUUUCCUUGAUUACCCUUGAUGAUUAGUGGGUUGUCGCCACAGAGAACAGAAGUUGUAUGUUGCGUAACCAGUGGUAUGGUGGGUAAUUUUCGUACAGCUUCAUGAGGAGAUAUAAAAACAGUAUUUUUAAAGCACCCUCUAAGAAGCUUCAUGAAUUUCAUGAAACGGGCCUCUAGUUUCGAUUUUUUUUAAAACUAAAGCUCGUGGAGCUGACCUGUUUGGGUUGAAAAAGUUAGAACGAAAUUGAAAUUCUUGAAGUGAAGCUCUCCCAAACAGGGCCUUAGUUUGGCUUUUGGCUUUUAGGGGGCAAAAGCCAAAACCAAAAGUCAAACCAAACACACCCUUAAUCUAACACCCAAGUUGUAUAAGAAAUAAAGGGCUUUUCUAUAGCUACAUAAGAGCGUCUUAAAGGGACUAUUUAUUUUUUUCCUCUCUAUUUGACUCUCUAUUUUUUUAUAAAGAUUACACUCUGUAUGUAGCAUCUCACUACAACAUAUUAUCUAUCUAGUUUGGCUAGUCAGAGUGGCUAGCCAAGUUUGGCUAGGGAGGAAUCCAAUUUGGAGAGUAAUAUAGUUUGGCGAAUUAGAUGGCUAGUCUGUUGGAGAGGUAUGUUGUUGUUGACUGAUCAAAAUUUUGUUUAACGAGCCAUUUGACUAAUCUCUUAUAGAUGCUCAGUAUGAGAUUCCUUUCAUUCUUUUUCACAUUUAAUUACCAAGACUAUAAAAACAGCAUGUCAAAGGUUUGAAUUUAAAUAGAAUAAUUAAAAAACUCAAAAAUAAAUAAAGAUGCAUCAUGUUGAAUCUUUGAAAUAUGCAUUUAAUGGAAUUUGAAAUCCAAAACUAAGUUUGAAUUUGAAACAACAAAAUGAAAACAGAAAUAAAAAAGAAGAAAACAUCGAAUGGGCUAAAACCCACACUAGUCGCCUAAAUCCCACCUCACCGCUCGGGCUCGGCCCACACUCCCUCGUUGUUUAUUUUCCUUUUUCUUCAAAAACCACAUGCCACAGGGCACUCUUCCUUGUUAUGAAUGCCGCGUGCUGAAAUGGUACAUGUGGUCCAUGACAGCCCUCCAAGGAAGUUCCUUCUCCAGAUUCCGGGUUGAGAUGACCAAGAUAAUCUCGCUUGUCUACGUUGUGGACGACAUAUUUGACUUUGUUGGCACACUGGAGGAGCUCUCCCUCUUCACUGAAGCAGUCAAAAUGUAAGCUCGCAUAUAUAUGGUUAAAUGAUAUGUACUAGCUCUUUACUGUCAUAUUAAAAACAGUUCAUCUAAUUUUUAUAAAACAUAAUUGGCAGGUGGGAUACUGUGGCUGCUGAUUCACUCCCUAGUUACAUGAGAUCAUGCUAUAAUGCUCUUUACACCAUUACAAAUGAGAUAGCGGAAAUGGCAGAAAAGAAGCAUGGAUUGAAUUCUAUUAAUCAUCUCAGAAAAGCGGUAUAUAUAUAAAUGUUACUAUUUUAUCUUGUAUAUACACCUCUUAAAUUUUAUCUGCAUAAAUAGCAAUAAAUAAAUAAAAACAUAGCUAUAUAUAGUUUACAAGAUUCAGUUACCAAUUUAAAGCUUGCAAAAAUGCAUAAUCAAAUUUAUGUAAAAUUAUCAACUAAACCGAAGUGAAGAAUUCUUACACUAGAAUUUCCACAAUUUUCUGCAGUGGGCAACGUUGUUUGAUGGAUUUAUGGUUGAGGCAAGAUGGCUAGCAAUUGAUCAGGUCCCUACUGCGGAGGACUACUUGAGAAAUGGUGUUGUCACAUCAGGAGUGCCUCUUACAUUUGUACACAUAUUCACCCUCAUGGGGUGUGAACAAAGUAUCGAAGCACUCAUUGACCAGAUGCCCUCUGUCAUCUCGUGCCCAGCCAAGAUCCUCCGACUUCAGGAUGACAUGGGCAGUGCUAAAGUUAGUCAUGUUUUCAUAUUUUGCAUCAAGAUUUUCAAAUCAAGUCUGCCUAUAAUGUUUAGCAACAAAAUUUAGCACCUCUAUUCAUGGACUUUUUGCAGGAUGAAGCUCAAGAAGGAUUUGACGGAUCCUAUAGGGAUUUCUACCUCAAGGAGAACCCUAGAUGCAACCGUAAUGAUGCGGAAGCACAUAUGCGUAGCUUGAUCGCAAGGGAGUGGGAGGAGCUCAAUAGGGAGUGUUUAUACACGAGGACCUUCUCCUCUAACUGCACACGUGUCUGCUUGAACACCGCGAGAAUGAUCGGUGUCAUGUACUCAUACAACAAGGAACAGAGGCUUCUUGUCCUUGAGGACUAUGCAAAGAUGUUGAUACUUUGAAGCAUUGCUACAAGAAAUCCAUGUGCUAUGCCUAAUUUAUGUCACUCCUUGUUAGUUGACACCAAUAAUGUAGAAAUCGGUGCGUGUAAAUUAGAUAUUUGGAUUAAAUAUUUAGGCAAAGAAGCAUGUAUAUCUAUUGAAUAUUGUUGAACAAUGUGUUGUUGAAAUAUGCAAUAGAAGUAAUAGUUUUGUAAGAGCCACUAGAAAUAUGAGGCAUUCCAAGGUUACCAUGGAAUUUAGCGGUACUGUGAGUUUAUGUAAAGAGGAAGGAGUAGGUGCGUAUAGACACUGAAGGAAGGGUGUGUAUGGUCUUGUGCAAUACUAUUGUGGUGUAAUAAAGUUAUGUUCUUGUAAGUGUUAGUCAGUUAAUUAGGUUGUAUAGUUUGGAAGUACUUCUUGCAUGAGUCAUUGUGAUCCAUAGAAGCCAUCACCUACUAGGCUACUACUACAAAAUAAUUUCGUAGAAAACUCUUAUUACAAAGGUGGUCUAAAAAUGUAUGGGUCUCCUAAAAUAGCUACCAAAAUUCAGAGGCAAUAGGAGCAUUAAGCAAGAUAGCCUAAUGUGCACGAUCUUUCUAAAUUUAUUUAUAGAGGUGGGCCUUUAGCAUAACACCUCUGUAAAAUAGAGGCAUUUACAAAGACAUGAUUGAUAGGAGGUCCACCUCUAGAAAAUCACAUGACCACUAAAAACUACCACAAACCUAUCUUACUCAAUGCCUCUGUUAGCAAAUAACACAAAUAUGGAUUGAACAUGAGACACCAAUUUUUUAUGUUGUAAAUCAUUAUAGAAAAAACCCAAUAACGUCAAUCAACAAUCUUCACUAUAUAUGAGGAGAGUUUAUUGAACGUAUAAAAUACAAUGAGUUAUCUAUCUUCUUGUACGACUUAGAAGAUGUAUAGAGAGAGCAAACUACAAUCCAAUGCAGAAACAAAUUCAAAAUUGGAUCAUAUUUCAACAAAUUUCACCUUGAGAUGAAUUCUAUGUUGUAACAAGUAAAGUACGGCUCACUUCAAUAAUAAAUAAUCAUUGACGCCAAAAGUUAUUAGGACUUAAAUUGUAAUAUCAACUAAGCCCAAGCAUAGAUCAAACUUAGCUCUAGGAACAGGAUUUGCCGAUGUAUCAACAGUACAUAUCUUGUAUACCUUAAUAUCACAUUUAUCAACGACACCUUUAAUAAAGUGAUAUCACACAUCAAAGUGAUUUGUUCUUUAAUGAAACAUUUAAUCUUUAGUCAGACAAAUACCACUUUGUCUAUCAAAAUGUAUAGUAAUACAAAAUGUAACCAUGUAAAGUUCAGAACAUAGACCUUCUCAACCAAAUAGCUUCUUUACAAGCUUUAAAAAUAGCCAUAUAUUUAGCUGUAAAGUUCUCUGAAUGAUCACCAAACUCCUGAUCGCCACCAAGCCAUCUAGGUGAUACCGAUCACCAAGAGUAACAAACACUAACUUCACUUCACUUAACCAAGUAUAAUUAAGGUGGUGAAUACACAUAAGAUACUCUUAGUGCACUAAUAAGGUCGCUAAUCAAGUGAUUAUCAACUCUCAAGUCCCUCACUAAUCACUAGCAGGGGCGACGUCAGGUUCAUGUUCCCUAUUGCACUGGCAAUAGGGUAAAAACAAGAAAUACCAUUAGAUGGAUUCAAAUUUACCAUAUGUGUUUGCUAAAUUAUUUAUUUUCUUAAGUUGUGCAUCAGUGUAUAUUUUGAGUGGGGUUCGCCCUGAUCACUAUGCAAAUACUCUUUCUCACUCGCAAAUGGGCUUCGACAAUUGAAAUGGAUAAGAGACCUUAUAUGGAUGAGUUGGACAUUAUAAAUAGACAUAGUCAAAGAAACUAGUCGUUGCCCUCAUCUUAGCUCACUCGGUGCACUGAACAUGUCCAGUUAGAACCCACUCUCUGCAUCAGACACAUUCGGUGUCUUCCCAAUGGCUAGUUUUAGAAAUGAGUUGUUAUUGUACUAGUAUCUAGUGCUCACACCGGUACUACACUGGACACGCCCGAUGAGUAUAGUGGUCGAGUGCAUGGUUGCAUACAUCUAUGAGUACUAUGUCUGAUGCCACACCAGACACAUGAUCUAUGAGAAACUACUAAAACAAAAAAUAUAAGUAUCCUUAAUAAGAUAGCUUUAGGGCUUGUUCGGUUAGGAGUGGAUUGAAGGAGGAUUGAAGGUAAAUCUCUUGCUAAUCAAAAUUGAAUAGCAAGAGAUUUAAUCCCCAUCAAUCUUCUUCGAUCUCCAUGCAACUGAAUAAGUCCUUAUGGGGAUAGGAAGAGGUAAUAUGGUAUUCUUGUACAUUCUCCCAAACACAUCAAAGUUUGGGCUCAAGCUACUCGGGCGUGCAACUUCUGCUUAAAGAUAUCAGUGUCUUGUUGGGAUGUCGAUGACGUAAUUGAAAGUCGCCUAGAGGGGGGUGAAUAGGGCAAAUCUAAAAUUUAUAAACUUAAGCACAACUACAAGCCGGGUUAGCGUUAGAAAUAUUAAUGAGUCCGAGAGAGAGGGCGAAAAACAAAUCGCGGGAAAAUAAAGAGUGAGACACAAUGAUUUGUUUUACCGAGGUUCGGUUCUUGCAAACCUACUCCCUGUUGAGGUGGUCACAAAGACCGGGUCUCUUUCAACCCUUUCCCUCUCUCAAACGGUCACUUAGACCGAGUGAGCUUCUCUUCUCAAUCAAACGGGACACAAAGUCCCCGCAAGGACCACCACACAAUUGGUGUCUCUUGCCUCGGUUACAAUUGAGUUGAUCACAAGAAAGAAUGAGAAAAAGAAGCAAUCCAAGUGCAAGAGCUCAAAUGAACACAAGUCACUCUCUCACUAGUCACUAUUUGAUUUGGAAUGAACUAUGGACUUGGGAGAGGAUUUGAUCUCUUUGGUGUGUUUUGUAUUGAAUGCUAUAGCUCUUGUAAGGUGUAGGAAGUUGGAAAACUUGGAUGCAAUGAAUGUGGGGUGGUUGGGGUAUUUAUAGCCACAACCACCAAAAUGGCCGUUGGGAGGCUGUCUGUCGCAUGGCGCACUGGACAGUCCGGUGCGCCACCAGACACUGUCCGGUGCGCCAGCCACGUCAGUCGGCCGUUGGGUUCUGACCGUUGGAGCUCUGACUGGUGGGGCCUCUGGGCUGUCCGGUAGUGCACCGGACAGGUCCUGUAGACUGUCUGGUGCCCCUUCUGCGCGUGCUCUGACUCUGGCGCGCACUGUAGCGCAUUUAAUGCGGUUGCAGUCGACCGUUGGCGCGAAGUAGUCGUUGCUCCGCUGGCACACCGGACAGUCCGGUGCGACACCGGACACUGUCCGGUGCUUCAUCGGACAGUCCGGUGAAUUAUAGCGGAGCGGCCUCCAAUUUUCCCGAAGGUAGCGAGUUCAGCGUCAAGUUCCCUGGUGCACCGGACACUGUCCGGUGCGCCAGACCAGGAUGCCUUUGGGAUGUCUUUAGCUCUCUUUAUUUGAACCCAUCUUUGGUCUUUUUAUUGGCUUGUUGUGAACCUUUGACACCUGUAAAACUUAUAGACUAGAGCAAACUAGUUAGUCCAAUUAUUUGUGUUGGGCAAUUCAACCACCAAAAUCAAUUUAGGAAAAGGUGUAAGCCUAUUUCCCUUUCAGUAAUGCGCUAUGCAAUUCUCUAGGGAACUUUAGGUUCAUGCUACUAAUGGCAUGUCGCAUGUGAUACUUAAGGGCGUGUUUGGGAGGAGAAUGAAGGGGGUUGAAAGGACUAAAAUCCUCUUACUAUUCAUUUUAAGUAUUAGGGCCAGUUUGUUAACCAGGGAUCAUGAGGUGAUUCAUGGGGGAGGAAUCCACUUGCUCUUGUGAUCCCUGGUCACCAAAUCGCCCCAUAAGGAGAUUUUAGCUCCCCCAAUCGUCUUGCUCCUAAACAAACUCUAAGGGCAUGUUUGGGAGAAGGGAAACAAAAAAAAAUUGGAGGGCUCAAAUCUUCUUGCCCCUUCAAUCCUCUUUGUUUUCCUUAUUGCGAAACAAGCCUUAAGACGUUGUUUGGUGACAAGGGGAUUAGAGGGAUUGGAGGGGGUUGAGAGGGGAAUUAGUUCAUUUCCCUCUCGAAUUCUUAAUUUCUCCCUCAACCCCCUCUAAUCUUAUUAAUUCCCUUGUCACAGCCCUAAAAGAGGUUAGAAACUUUUCACAUAGGAGAUGGGACGGUGAGGGCCAGUUUGGCAACCCCAAUUUUUUUUUGAGGAAUUUCUAUUUUUUAAAAAAAAAAUAGUUUAUUUUCUUUUGAGAAAAUGAAGAUGCCAAACUUAAUCAUGAAAGGAUGUAGAGGCUUCUAGAAAGUCUUGCGACAGUUUGAAGCUUAAACGACGGGGGUGCUUCUUGAUGCACUAAACACAAGAUUAAUUCAUGCAUUUUUCCUGAAAAAUGCAUAUAGAAAUGCUCACUACACCAAACACGUGUAUAGGAGGGCCUGACGGAUGUCCUUUGAAUUUUGUGUCGUCGUCGUCGUCAGAAGGAGACGAUGUUGGUCUUCCUAGUAAUUAUCACAAGCAUGCAUGUAUGCUCUUGACCUAGACCAGCUGUGUGAAAGUGUUUAGAAAAUGGUAUUCUAUCUCGGUUUUUUUCUAAGAUGACAAAAAGUGGUAAAAUAGACUUUUUGAUUGAUUGUGAUUGUGAGAGAUUUGGUUUAUGUGGUGCAGAUGGUGGUUGGUCCUAGGACUGGCUCAACAAAUCCCAGUGGCGAGGGACCAGAUAGUGGGAAUGAUCAGAUAGUGGGAAUGGUACAUGUGGACCAUGACAGCCCUCCAAGGAUGUUCCUUCUCUUGAUACUAGAGGAAGCUCUCCCUCGUCAGUGGCAAUUAAAAUGUGGACCUCGACUUGGAAGGCCUGGCAUUUGGGUAACCUAAAAAAUUAGGGUCCGAUAACUCGGGUUUUGAGAACCGCUAUCCGAAGUGUACUCGUAAUAAGCAAGUAUCCGAAAAUUCAUACGGGUUCGGGUUGAGCAGGCAGCAGUAACCCAAUGUCACACACAAUAAACAAAGAAUGAAAUAAUGUACAUAAUAAACAAAGAAUGAAAUAAUGUACAUAACACUGUAGCAGCAGUAAAUUGUAAACCACAUCCCCAUAUGGCCAUGUUGCACACUCUCACGGUAAAGGCAUGCAGCAGUAAAACAAACAAAAAUGAAACUAUAGCACUUAAAAGUAAGUCCGGCUGCUGCUCUUCAUCUGCACGGCUGUUGCUUCUGUGAUGCAGGCACUGCUGUUGCCUGCUUCUGUGAUGCACAUGCAUAGGCAGCUUGCCACUCGCCAGUUUCAAACAGUGAAAUGAAAGGGCACUGAGGCACAUGCUGCUCGCCACUCGCCAGUUUUCAAACAGCAACGGCAAGCACAUGUUUCAUAAUUCACAGAAUACAGGAAGUCAAUCAGGCACACAGCUCCACUGUCACACUCACACAAAUAACAGAUGCUCGGACAGCUUGGGAACUGGAUAAAUAAUAUAUAAUUUCGGGUAAUUCAGGCACGAGACAUGUUACCCGGUACCCAAUAUAAUUUUGGGUUUUGAGACCUAGGAUCCAAACUAGUGUUUGGUUAAUUCAGGUUUGGGUAGGUCGGGUACAGGUUCAGGUAGUUCAGGUUUGGAUAACGGUUCAGAUAAUGGGUAUCUUGCCCACCCCUUGGAAUACCGUUCAGCCCAUCUUAACAUGGAGCCAUUGACGUGCAGCUCAAUGGAUUGGAAAUUUCAGGCACCGCAGACAAGCACCAUACCAACAAGAAACCAUACCAUACGCUUUGAUCGUUCAAAGUGUCUAGGCAACUUUGGUAGUACCGGCAUUACAGACAGUUUUGGUUCCACUUCCUAGCGCUAACAGAUACUCCUCCCUUGCUCGUCGCAACCAAUGCAUUUUUUACAUCACAUCAGUUCUAUCCGGUGCAGUCACCGGAACUCAUUGCGGGCACCGGCUUACAUGAUCGCGACGCUCAGGUAAUCGCCAAUCUGCAGUUACAUGAUCGCGACGCUCAGAUAAUCGCCAAUCUGCAGAACGAGGUGGCGUAGAUAAGAACCUUGUCCACUGACCAAAAGCAUAAUCUAAAGUAGCAUGAUACAGCAUUCGUGCAGACCUGGAACCCAAGCUCUGCAAGAGUUUUGGCAUCAUCACCUCUUCCAUGGCCAUAAGCGAAGGUCGAACCCACCUUCAGAUGUUCAAGCACGACGAAAUACACAUGGCCAUAAGCGAAGGGCAACAGUGCAGUGCAUACACAUGGAAAUUUACACAAUGAUGAAACGGUAUAUAGGCCAUUUGAACCUAUACAGGGCAUAAUGAAUACAAGGCAUAAUACGCAGCUUGGACAAAUGAGACUAUAUAUGGCACGGUGUAUUUUGGGUGAAUGACAUGUGGAAGAUUGUGUCCAUGGUAAUGCCUGGGAUGGUUCUCUAGUCGUCUUGUAUUGUAUAUAUGACUUGGUAUGGUAUGUGUACUGCAAAUUUUCAAGCAGGUUGUGUUCCUUUAGAUGGAUGGAGGCAAUCUCACAUAUAAGGAAAUUUGGUGAUUGCAUCUCCAAUUCUCCAUGAGCAAGAGUACCAAGCAGUUAAAUCACAAAGCUUGCAAGCAAAAGCAAGUUUUUAACUAGGAAAGCAUACAGCACCUAGUAACCUAGCCCGCCCAGGGAAACAAACAGAGCGUCCACCUUUCCUGGCAAGGCUAGUUUGCCCAGCGAAGCAAGGCGAGAUGGAGCUAAGGGUCCAAACAUGCCCAAAUUCUUAUAGCGUUACCUGUCUGACAACAAAACGACCAUUCUUGUCUGGGUAUACAAAUGCAAAAGAAAGCCUCGCGUUCCUUUUCCUUGCUGGAAGAGCAACCUCUUUCACCUGAAAAAUUCAAUCAUAUGCACUGAUAAGAUUGAUGUGUUAUUGACAUGCAUGCUCAAACCCAGUGGUAUGCUAUUAUAAGACAUGAAACCCUACUUUCCUCAAGGUAUAAAUAAACAUCUCUUUUUUCCUUAAAGUGGCCCGAGCAAGUUAAGUCUGAAUAAAGGACUUACAAGAUCAGUAAGCUCACGGAGAGUGGCAUCCUUCCAUGUGUAAAUCUGAACUUCAUCCUUUGGUUCUUUCCCUCUCACAGAAAACUCUUCAUUUUGGUGGUGACCAGCAACCUGAAAACAGUAACUGAUGAUCAACUUUCUGCAGUACAUGGUGUUUUCUUAUCAAUCUCUACUGCAAGACAUGUAAGAUAAGAUGCCACAAUAUAUGUAGUACUCUUAAUGGUACAAUUGUGCAGAUCACCCACAUAGAAAUGUAUUCCCAAAUCCCAACUUCAGAUUCAAAUGUAUCAUGAGAUUACUACUGUGCUUUCCUAGAAGGAAACCUUCUGGCCACCUAAAUAAAAACUGACACUACAAAUGUCCUAAAUGUCCUAACAGAACACCAACAGAACAAAUCCUGGAACAGUGGAUGGCUAAGAUGUGUUACUGCACUCAACAACUCUAUACAUAGUUAAAUAUGAUGUGCAGGCGCAGGCCUCUCAACAAUAUAAACAUUUCUUGACCAGAUUAUGUGUGUUCCCCUCUAUGACACUAAUUAACUAAGGCCUUGUGUUUGACUAAAACAUAGCUGAUUAUUCAUUGGUUUCACCAUCAAAUAACUAUUGUGCGGGCCUGGUGCAGCGGUAGAGCCUACCGUCUGUAACCGGAAGGUCCCGGGUUCGAGCCCCAGCCUCUGCAUAUUAUGGGGGUAAGGCUUGGCGCUUAAAGAUACCCUUCCUCAAACCCCGCACAGUGCGGGAAGCCUACGGCACUGGGUACGCCCUUUUUUCACCAUCAAAUAACUAUGCUGUUACGCAAUCAUCUUAUUUAGCUAACAAAGUGCAUACUUCAUUUCUAAUAUAAUUCCCAGUGUAAGUAAACUGGCAGUAAAUUGCCCUUUUAAAAAAAUAUCAUAGUUUGAUGAUUCAAACCUUUCUGCUGAAUCUGCCAAGCACCACAGAUACAAUAAAAUCUAUUGAAUAGUUGUAGUAUACAAACAAGUGAAUCAAGCAUACUGCAUGCUCUCAAGUCUUGCUCAACACAGUGUUUUCUUCAAUCUCAACUGGAAGAUAUGUAAGAAGAUAAGAUGUGUGCACAAUGUAUGUAGUAUCAUGUGUGCAGAUCAUCCAUAUAAAAAUGCAUCCCAACUUCUAGAUCCUAAAGUAUCAUGGAAUUACUACUGUGAUUCACAAGAAGAACUAGGAAUGAAAGAUGGCCAGCUUCAGAAUCUAAACAGGCAAUAAACUUUUGAUUGAAGAGCACCAAUUGACCCAGUAACCUUCAGGACAGCUAAAUAAGAACUGCCAUUAGAAAUGUGCUCACAGAACACCAAAAGAACUCCUUUAGUGGACGGCUAAGCCAUGUUAAAAUGCACUCAACUCUAAAAACAAUUAAAUAUGAAAUGCAGGCCUUUCAACAUAAUAAACUGUUUCUUACCUUCAUUUAAGCAGAUCACCUUUUGCCAGAAUCAUUCCAGAACAAGUAGACCGGAAACCGGAUUAAGUUGCUUCCCCUUUAUGAAACUAAUUAACCAAGGCUUGUGUUUAACUAAAACUUCACUAUUUAAUCAUUUGUUUCACACUCAAAUAAUUAUACUGUUAGCUACGCAAUCAUCUUAAAGCGUAGACUUCUAAAUAAAUUCCAAGUGUAGGUAAACUGUUAGUAAAUUGCCUUUUAAAAAAAGGCAUAGUUUGAUGAUGAAAAGCUUUCUGCGGAUUCCACCAUGUACAAUAGGUACAACAAAAUUGACUAACAAAUAAAAAGUUGCAGUAGCAAUGCAAAUAAGUGAAUCAAGUAUACUGCAGACUCUUAAAUCUCACUCAACAAACUGGAGUAAAGUGCUAAUCAGCACAGGGUAACCAAUAAAUAAAUUCGUUGGGACAGAAACAAGAAGACAUAAGCAUGCUUACCCUUGUGAAAACCCUGAGCAGCAGAGGGCAGGUCUACACACACAAAAAAAAAUAUUGUCAGCAAAAUUAGUCAGCAUUCACAUUCCUCAGACGCAAAACCUAACCUAAUGCUGUGGAGAUGCAUAAGUGUUACAUACUUGUGAAAGCACAAUCCGCCACAAGGGGCAUCUCAUGAGUUAGAACUUACUUAGAAGACUGACACCAUGAGCAAGGGGGACGCAAGGAGUGUAAGAACUGACCUUCUCGCGGUCGAUUGGUUCGGGGCGGAGGCGCGCCAUCGGCGGAGGGCCCCGGUGCUGCAUCGGCGGGCCCGGCCGCGCCGGCCUCAUCGGCAUAUCGGUCAUGCCUGCCAUCUCCCCUCCUCAGCAACGAGGCUCUGCGAGUUUGAACAGAAGCACACGCAUCAACCAACCUAUUGGUUGCAAGUAGACAAACGUUUUGCCAAAUCGACCAGUUGAAAACGAGGAAUCGAGUUGACCUGCUCUGCCGCCGGGUGGAUUUUGACAAGGGAAGGCGCUCGCCGCCGCCGCCGCCGCCGCCGAUUCUUCGGCGGAGAGAGGUGGACGUGGGGAGGGCAGGAGGAUCCGACGGCGUGGGUGUGUGCGAAUAGGGCCAAACAAACCCUAAAUUUUGCAGUUUCCUCCCUUGAGAUCAAUGAAGACCUCGUUUGGUUUGGGAUGACUAAAAUUUAGUCAUUUUAGUUAAAAAAAGCAGACAACUAAACUUUAGUUCUUUAGUCACAAGAGAUGACUAAAUUAAGAUUCUUACCUUAUUUGCCCUCUCUAAUUUUUUAUUGCACCAAACAUCCACUAAUUAAUAAGGGUAAUACAGUCAUUAUCCACAACAAUUAAUGCUAUUUAGUUCGAUUUAGUCAUUGGAACCAAACAUGCUACUCUAUCGACUAAACUUUAGUCACGGAACUAAACAGGGCCGAAAAAUACUCCUACAUAAUUGCAAUUCGGUCCACUAAAGCUAUCUUCAUCCGCCUUAAGGUUUUUUUAGUUUAGUUUUGGUUUUGGCUUUUGUUCCUAAAAGUCAAAAGUCAAACCAAAGGGUUGGAUAGGAAUCAGUUUUUUAUAAAAGCCGACUUUCUUGCAGUAUAAAAAAGAAAGCAUCAUUGGAUCUGCUUUUAGUGACUUUCGGAUAGAACUAUAUAUAUAAACUUUUAGUGGUUUCUACCAAACGAUUUUUAUUUUUUAACAUCUCAUAGUCUACAACAAUUUUUUUCACAUCUCACAGCCUACAACGGCUUUUUUAUAGUCACAGUCCAAUCAAACAGACUCUUACUUAUCUCAUCCCCUGUUUCAAACUCCAAUACCUAACAGUACAAUCUACAAUACAAAGAAAUGGUUUGUAUGGUCAUAUGCAUGAUCAAAUCGUGUAUAUGACUGUUGAAGAUAUUGUUGACAUAGUAAAGUUUGAAAAGAGAAAUGAAGAUGAAUAAGUUGCUAGAGAUAGAUAGAUAGCCAUGACGACACAAGACCCUUAUUGCAGGUAUAGGUGUAUAUUCGGGCCGCCCGGCCCGGCCCAAUCCCGUAAAGGCCCGUAUUAUUUGAAUUUCGGGUCGGCCCGGCCCGUUUGAAUUUCGGGCCGUGUCGGCCCAUGGGCCUAGCCCUCGGCCCACGGCCCGGCCCGUAAUUGCUUAAACGUGUCGGGCUCAUUUCGGGCGGCCCGAAAUUUACAUUAGGGCCCGAAAUUCAGUUUUUGGCCCGAAAUUCAAAACAAAUUUAAUAAAACAAAUAAAAGAUAAGACAAAUAAAUUUGACCAAAAGCAAUCUUAAUAUAUUUGUAUUAAGUUACUAGAGCUAUGCAAUGACUACCUCGUUUAUAAAUCAUUUUGUUAGAAAGAAAAAGAGUAUAAUCAGAUCUAUAUAUAGUUCAUAAGUUCAGUUCAUUAUCUAAUGUUCAUAACAAAAAUAAAAUUACAUCACAUACUCUAAUUCAAAGCUACAAAAAACAUCUAACUAACAUGAUCUAUAACUUUGUGUUCUUUAUCAAGUACAUAAAAGUGUGGAAUGAAGUGUGAUUUUAAUAAAUAUAUGGGCCUUUUCGUACCUCUAUAUGGGCCAUUUCGUGUCUGCCUUAAACGGACCGUGUUCAUGCUCAUGCCCGCCCAUGGGCCGCGACCUCGGCCCAAACCCGGCCCGAUAUAUCGUGCUGUGCCGGCCCGGCACUAAAAUAUUUCGUGUUGUGUCGUGCCUGGGCCGUGCUUUUUUCGUGCUUCGGGCCGGCCGGGCUCGCCGAUUUUUUUGCAUUUUGGUCCUUCAUCGGAAAAAAAUUCACGUUUAGACCCUAGAAAAUUUUAAUGUCAUUUUUGGACCCUUUACUCGGCGCCGUAGCCUGUGGCGCCGAGGCCGAGGUACGUGCUGCGUUGGCACAAACGGACGUCGUGGCGCCGACGUGGUACCGAGCUCGGCGCCAUAAAUCUUGGCGCCGAGCUCCAUUCUAUACAGAAAACUUGUCUAGCUUAGUUGGUAAAAUACAAGGCUCUUAACCUUAUAUGGUCGUGGGUUCGAGCCCUACGAUGGGUGUUUUUAAUACUUUUUGUCUUUAUCACUUAUUUGUUUUUUUUGUUGUCCAUAUUUUUCAUUUAUGUCGCUGAUCUGUUUGUCCUGAUUUGUUUCUCAUCCAGUUUUAUUUUUGUGGCUGAUUUGUUUAUUCGUCUAGAUUUUUUUAUCCGGCGAGCACAGCAGCUGUGUGCCACAGUGCUCACAAGUCGUCAACUUCUCCCCUUGUUUGCUCAGCUAACCACAAUAAAAAUCAAAUAAGAACACUCUUACUUCAAUCGUGAUCAAAUAAAAAUAUUAUAUUUUCAUUGAGUUCUUUUGAACAUAAAUUUUAAAUACAUAAUAACAUAUUCCUAGUAAAAAGAAGCACACAUAUUCAUCUUUUUUUUCUUCUGCACUAAAUAAAAGUAUACUCCAUUAUAUACUUUUCUCAUGGAUGAUAUAUUUUAGAAUUUACUGCAUAUACAACUGUUGUGCUCGCCGGAUAAAAAAAAUCUGGCCGAAUAAACAAAUCAGUCACAAAAAUAAAACUGGAUGAGAAAUAAAUCAGGACGGACAAAUCAGCGACAUAAACGAAAAAUAUGGACAACAAAAAAAUAAAUAAAUGACAAAGACAAAAAGUAUUAAAAACUCCCAUCGUGGGGUUCGAACACACGACCACAUGUUUAAGAGCCUUGUAUUUUACCAACUAAGCUAGACAAGUUUUCUGUGCAGAAUGGAGCUCGGCGCCAAAAUCUAUGGCGCCGAGCUCGGUACCACGUCGGCGCCACGACGUCCGUUUGUCCCAACGCAGCACCUACCUCGGCGUCAUAGCCUACGGCGCCGAGUAAAGGAUCCAAAAAUGACAUUAAAAUUUUCUAGGGUUCAAACGUGAAUUUUUUCCGAUGAAGGACCAAAAUGCAAAAAAUUCGGCCGGGCUCGACCCAACACCUAUAAUUGGAGGGCUCUUGGUCAUAUUUUUUAGUUUAAAUGCAAGAGCCCUUUAGUAUAGGCUCAAAAGUUAAAACAGUUAUGUACUUCUAAGUUCCCUUCCAUUUUCUUACACACUAUAUUCACACACACACAUAUAUAUAUAUAUAUAUAUAUAUAUAUAUAUAUAUAUAUAUGAGAAUAAUAUAUCUUAUUUAAACUCUAACUCUAAAGCACUAUAUUGAAAUAAAAAUAUUUAAAUAUAGAAUUCAAACAUAAAUUUGAUCUAAAAUUGAUGAUAUUUGAUCACAUCUUAGUAUAUAAUAUAUCUUCAAAUUAAAUGGCAUAAUUACAAUUGAACAACUAACUUGUGCCAUGUCGCGUCAAUAUAUACUUCAUAAGUGGAGAUGGCAACGAGCACAUAACUCGUGGGUAGAGCGUUUUCUACCCAGGGCCUGCUAGGUCAAAAUCAAAUUUUGGUCUGUGCCAUAAACCAAUGGACACAUUUGUGCCUAUGAAAAAUAUACUUGAUCGAAAUACACUAAACCAUAGUGAACAAAGGCGCACUUAACUACUUAAGCCAAAUUUAACAUUACACACUUAAGCCGUAAUUCUCAACAUAGUAGAAUCAACAGGUGACAAGAUUACAAGAAUAGUCGAUAGAUAUAGGGUUCCACGAUUGAUAACAACUAAAGUUUUAUCGAAAUACUAUUGGCUCUAUUGUCGAGCAUACUAUCGACUUUGCUAUGAUCAUUGUUAGUGCUUAUCUUGUGCAAAUUAUUAUCAGUCAGUUACCUUAGCACCACAUCCGCUUUUAUUUUAUAGACUUUUAAUUAACAUGAAACAUCCAUAAAACAUAAAUGCAAAUUACGUGAUUCAUAAAAUAUAAAUCAAAAUUACAUUAUUUUUAAGCUUAAAAAUUACAUGAUUCAUAAAGAUUUUUUAUUUUUAUUUUUUGGUUUGUUUUCAAGUCGGUACCAAUUGGACGUUCUCCAACAGUCCGACCGAUCUACAAACUACUAUGGCCUAAUCUGUUUGGGAGAGGUCUGGUUCUCCCCUGUUCUCAAGAUGAACUGAACACUAUUCUCUCAAAUGGAACCAAAAUGUCUUCCUUUUUCUGGCUUCAGCGGCACUACUCCCUUAAAUGAAUAAUCAACUGCUUUCUCAAGUGAAAUUCGAAUCAAAGCGUCAGCUUUUCUUUUGGCCAAGUGAAUCAGAACUUUUCUGUCGAGUGAAAUCAACACAAGUGCCCACGUAGUCAUAGGCUCUUAGGCCCCGUUUCAAUCUCACAGGAUAAACUUUAGCUUCCUGCUAAACUUUAGCUAUAUGAAUUGAAGUGCUAAAGUUUAGUUUCAAUUACCAUCAUUAGCUCUCCUGUUUAGAUUACAAAUGGCUAAAAGUAGCUAAAAAAAGCUGCUAAAGUUUAUCUCGCGAGAUUGGAACAGGGCCUUAGCCUCAUUUUCCCCUGUUUCCAGAAGUAAGAUUAGCACACCAACAGUGUGCAACCUAACAACACCUCCGUGCAGCAAACUAGCACACCAAUAGUGUCUUGCUGUGUCUCGUCCGAGCGUCAGAAAAAGGAAGACAACCAUGCCAGUCGGAGUAGUCAGUGGAUCACACAAGAUCUCCAAAAACAAUGCACACGGUCAUACAGCUGCAAACACAAGCGAGACACCCUCCAGGGAUUUAAUUGCUUUCAUGACUCACGGAGUAACCAGAUAGUACAAGGUACUAUAGUACAUUUGGCAAAAAAUGCAAUGUUGAAAAAAAAAUAACACAAAGAUUCAAGGAUAAAUAAGAAAACACCCAUGCAUCCAGAUCACAAGUGCUCUUCUUAUCCUGCAGAGUCAAAAAUCAUUCUCGAAUAGAUAACGCAUGUUCCAUGCAAUAGUAUGCCGCAAACUCUAGUGAUAUAUUCUCUGCCCGCCAAAGGUAUACAUAACAGAAACCUACUAUCCCUCCCAGCCAGAUCACAUGAAGUCGUACUCAUCGGGGUCAUCGUAGCCACCACCCCGGCCGGGGAUGAAGUCGUCGUCUCCUUUCUCGAUGUGGAGUUGCUUCUUUUUCGCUCCUGCCAAAGAAUUCCAUUCAGUAUCGACAUCAGUGAUCAUGCUAGUUACUAAAUCUGCCUUCAAUCAAAACAUAAAGCAACCAAGCUUGAGAGUUGAGACCAUGUUACCUUGUUUCUUUUUGCCUGCUGCAGCCUCCUUCUCAGCCUUGAUCUUCUCGUUAGCAAUUGCCGUCACGGAAGAAGAUAUAUCUUUGGCGUCCGCACCUUUCAACGAUGUCAUGGAAAGUCUCAUGACAUUCUUAAGCAGAGCCAUGUAGUGAAAGCUUUUCUGCAAAUGCAAGCAUGUAGCCAACAAGGUCAGACAUACUGCCGAAAAAGGGUGCACAACCAGAGGCAUAUAGUGUUGAACUGUAGACAACGUUAGCAUACCUCAUAGGGGCGUAGUUUGUUUGCAAUAAGCUCCGCGUAUUCCGCAAAGUCACUCUCGGACUUUGGAAUAAAAGUAUCUAGUGACUUUUGCUCACUGCCCUUCUUUGCAAAAAGCUCGGUGGUAGACUUGAAGUCAGCUUCUUCCACAAGUCUGUAAAAAGUAAACAUUGUAUCCAUGAGCAGACUGACAGGCUAGUUCACGUAUAAGACAGGAACAGCAACAUCAUAUGGUUAAGUUUUUAUGCAAAGUACCAAAAAUAAACAGGCCAUAAAAUCUUCAUAUACCUUUGUUGGCGAAUUUUCUGUGAAGUGGGACUAAGAGGAGGCUCAUCUGGUUCUUCAGCACUUGUCAAUGCUUGCUGUUUUCCCUUUUUAGCAGGAGCCUUAGUGCUAGGUUUUGCAGCGACCUUUUCCACUGGCGCUGGCUUAGGUUUCUACAGGAUGCAGACAUGCAGUAAAACAAGACGAUAGUGUUCAAUCAGUGACAAUUCAAUAUUAACUAACAUAAGUGGUUGGCAUCAUACUCUGCAUAACAACACCAGAAAUAAUCAUUGCGAUUACAAUCACUGAAUCAAAUUGCUUUGGAAUUGAAUUUUAGUAAGAAACAAUAUACUACUGGAAAAUUACAUUGCAUAAUUCAAGCCCAUGAGGAUAGCUGUUUGAGCUAUUUAAUUACUACAUAACCAUUAGCUGAUUGAAAAGAUAGGUAUGCAAUUAGAAUGGUAGUGUGAACAAGAAAUCACACGUACACUGCAAGGGCAUAUGCAUCAAGUAUCUCCAACAAAUUAUUUUGAACAGCCAAGCAAUGAACAGAUAAUAAUUAUCGAUUAGUGCUAUCAACAUGCAGGCAUUCAUGCUUAUAACAGUCACAACUACAUAAAGAUAGAAUUUCGUAUAAAGAAGAGCAAAUUUACUUCUGCCUAUAUACAUGAAAGAACCAAAGUUAAAUAAAAGGGUUCAUGUGAUGCAUCAAUUAAAAAAAUCAUAUAAUUUCAUUUACCUCCUCCUCCUCCUCUUCUUCCCAUGAUUCUUUUACAUCAUCUUCUUCAACAUCUUCAUCAGCCCACUGAUUUUUAAGUGGCUCGGCUUUCACAACAGGCACAACUGGCUGGAAUUCUUCAGAAUCUGAAAUGCAGUAUAGAUUAGUUUCCAUAACACAGAAACAGAGCAUAUGAAGGUGCCAUAAGAAACCAACACCAGAACUUGAAACCUAAAUUCAAUAUAAACUAAGAUAAUUGCACAAGAGGAACCCUGAGGAGCCUGUCGCUGUAUACUCGCCUCCUCUAAUAGCAAGGUUGAAAUAGGUGUAGGGACACUGGGAAAUUAAGCGGGCAUGAAAAGACGCCUAACACAGCAGUCAGGAGCCUAUAUGGGGGUAACUUUUUUUAAUAUCAUGUUAAUCCAAUCAGAGAUGAAGGUAGCUUCAAGUAACUAGCAGGUACAGAUGCCAAAAUCACUGUUAAAGUGUUAAUGGAUCUCACUAUUCUUAGUUGACAUUCUAAAUUCGACAUGUAUAUAUAUACAGGAGACGCAUAUGACUAGAUAUAUCCAUAUUUCCAAAACCCUUGACCAUGUCCCUAUAACGGAACGGAUAUCACCACAGCUCACAAACAAAUGACCUCGAAUCAAAAUCCUACAACAUCGAGCGUGCCUAGGGUCCGCGAACUCCCUACUCUAGAUUCGGAAACCGCCGUGGGACAGGGACGGGAACCAUGACGGACCGCGCGUCGGAACACGAACUAGUCGUGACGGUGGAACACCGGCGCACAGAUCGGCAGAGGCGAGGGAAGAGAGAGAGGCGCUCACCCCAGUCCUCCAUCGUGGCUACUGACGAUCUCUAGAUCCAAUCGCUUUGGGCGGUGUCGGCGGCAGGUACGCGACCGGCGGCGGCGGGCGCCCGGUGCGUGAGCGGCCGGGGUGGGUAGGGUUUCCGCGGCUCUGGCGGCGUCGCAGGAGGGGAGGGUGGAAGCUUCUCGAGGGUUGUGGAACGCGGAGGGGGGAGGGGAACCGAAAGGAUGAGUCGAGUCGAGUGGCGCUCUGCUGUGCUGGCUGCCAGUUUGGCUUUUGCUCUGUGCCUCUGUCACGCGGUCGUGUGGUGCGUUCUCUUCAUCUCAUUGGGAGUUUGGGACGGCCACACGGAGGGUUUUUUUUUCCCUUCGCUAUUUUCCCCAUUAUUUUGAAAAAAUCCGAUACGAUGUCGAAAUGGGCGAUCGAAACAAUUUGGGCAACUAUUGACUCCGAGUACAUUUUUCUUUUUUUUUGGGCCAAAGCGUGCUGCUCGGAAUGCAGUUUCAGCUACGAAUAAGGCCCCGGUUUGAGGGUCAAUUUUAGUCUCAUUUAGUCACUAAAUUGCUAAAUGAUAUGAUUAAAAUAGGAACUAAACUGUUUUAGUCUCUAUUCCCUUAAGGGGUGACUAGGUGACUAAAAGUGAUUAAACCAUAUAAAUUCUACUUUUUAUCUCUCAUUUUAUUUCAGUUGCACUAAUUGCAUGAGAAUACUAUGGGGUAUUUUAGUCCUCUUAUAAUUCAUUUAAUGUGAUUUGAAUAGUUUUAGUCUCUAGAACUAAAUAGGAUAGAGACUAAACUUUAGUCUACUAACUAAACUUUAGUCUCUAAAAUAAAUGAACCAAACGGGCCUAAAGAUAACAGUAGAAUAAACAAAAAAGUAUUACAGACUUCACAUUUAGAUCUUGUUUGUUGGGGCUUGAGCCGCUUCUCAACAUGAAAAAAAGCUAGAAAAUUAAACAUAAAAUAGUGUUUUAGUCUCCUACCUCAUUCGUGAAGGCCUUUACCAUUUUCCUCUAUAUCUCUUACCUCUCCAAACAACAAUGUUCUCUAUAUCUCAUUCUUUAUACGUAAAUAUCUAUAUUAAAAAUAUAUUUUAUUUUGUUUUUUUAAUUAAAUGUAUUAUAGUUUUGUUAAAUCUAUUGUUUCAAAUAUUAGAACGAAUAGAAGAGAGAAAAACUCUAUAUAGAGAUGAUGCAACAAUGUUCUCUAUAUUUAGAGAACUGUUUAGAAGAUGUUGCUGGAGACAAAAAAAAAAGAGAAAUCUUCUCUAAAAUUUAGAGUAGAUGGCGCUUUAAAGACCUGCCGGAUAGAGUCUAAGCAGUGACCUUGUCUGACGUAGUGAUGUGGUAAGCAGUGAUGCACUGCCGCCUUCAUUAAGAUCAAUCGUUUCAGAGGAUCUGACCCAGCAAUAGUAACACCAAAUUAUCUAUCAAUAAAAACUACAUGACAAAUUUCGACCUCAGGAGCUCAUCACUCAGCAACCUAACCAAGCUUUCUAGUACUGGAACGAGCCAGUGCUCACACUGUUUAUUUACACACGCUGCCAAAAGAAAAGAAAAGAAUGGGAAUCGAGCUUACCGCUACUCGCCUACUCCUGCUGCAGCUGCACAAGCACAGCCGUUCUACCUACGACCUGAGGACUGCGCCUUCGGUGAUCCUCCACCCUGCUGGCCUGGAGUAGGUCAUCUCGUACCGGGCGGUGUACUUGGUGUCGUACGCGUCGUCGUUCUUAGGGUCGGUCACGUCGGUAAGCCGGCCCACCUCCUCGAUCGUCGCCUCCACCGCUGCCCGCCGGCCGUCCACGGAGACGGUGAUGCUGUCGAUCGUCACGCCAGAGAGCGCGUACUCCCAGAACCAGCCGUGGCGCUCGAUCUCUGCAGCUCGGUCCGCCCACACCUUCAGCAUGUUGCCGCCGAGGACCUGCCGGAGAAUGAAUUGGAAACGACGUCAUUGUACAGUGGCACUGGAUUUUAGUCAUACAAGGACAGGGGUUCAAUAAGAAGCCACCACUCCACUAUUUGAACGAGUGGUUGCUGCGUCAAUCUCGAAUGGCUAAAAUUCUUCUUGAAUGUAACUGCGUGGAUUUGUUGGGGGCCUUCGCCUUCCGAAGGUCCUCAAAAACAUGAUUUAACAAUGUUUCUGGAGUAUGAUACAUGAACAGGUACCUUCGGACUUACGUCAAAACCACAGUGUGAAGAAGCACAAAGAAUACGAAGGAUGGCGCAGAGCCGAAGCUAUGCGCAGGGGAGCUUCGGCGUGAUAGCAGAAAAUGAAACCGACUUAAAGGAGAAAAGACUAUUUAGACCCCGAUGGAUUACUAUAGAGUUAUUAGCAAGUGUAAAGGGCAUAAGUGUAAUUUUACAUGGGCUGCGUCUCGUGCCUAUAAAUAGAUGAACAAUGCUCCCGUACUGUUCACGCUGACUUGGCAUUGGCUUUUGCAUCACGCUUGUACUUUUACAUUCUUUCAAGCCGAAGGUACAUUUGUAAUUUGUUAUUAUUUCUAUUUUUCCAUAAUAAUAAAAUAGAAAUGAGUUAAUAAUAAUAUUUAAGUGUUUAUGUUAUUUCUUAUAUUUUAUAUGAAUCCUUCUUCAUUAUUUGUUGUGCUGAUGAAGGUACGUCCUUCAUAACCUUCGUCUGAAACUCAUUAUAUCCCAACAGAAAUAAUGCUUCGAAGGACGAAGGACUUUAACGUUUAACAAUUUUUGUGUUGCCUUUUUCUUAAUUCAUAGCAUUUAAGGACAAGUCCCCAACAUUGGCGGCUGAGUUGGUUAGGUGGUUUGAGUAGCACUCCUCAGGUCCUGGGUUCGACUCCCCGUGGGAGCGAAUUUCAGGCUGUGGUUAAAAAAAUCUUCUCGUCUGUCCCACGCCAAAGCACAGGUCUAAGGCUCAGCCCCGGUCGUGGUCGUUCUCACAUGGGCUUCGAUGCCGCUGUGUAUGGGUGGGGCAGGGGUUCGGGGGUUUUCUCGACCUGUGUGAGAAGGUCUUUUUCUUAAUACAAUGCUCGGGGGCUGUCUUACCCCCGCAGGUCGAGUUUUCAAAGACCGCACAGCCAAAGUGCCUCUCAACUCUCCAGCAACAUGUGUGUGUUGGGGAUUGUUUGGGACAAACCAACAAAAGCGCUAGCCAGCUAUAAAGAUGGAAAUUUUGGGACCUCACCUCUUGCAAUGCCGUGACAGUGUGUUCUGGCCCCAAAGCCUUGGACUUGAUGCUUUGCCACCUGCGAACAAUGUCUUCAGCCAACUUCGCGUCCAUCCUAGGGAUUUCCAGUGGCUCUUCAUCUGCCGCUGGACCUUCAACAAACAAAGAUGGAAGGAUUAAUUUCCCUGGCCAGACGCACGUUUAACAAAUAAUACGGCUUCUAUGAGCAUUUUAUGUGUGCACUUCUAUGAUGUGCAUUACAUAUAGAAAUAGGAAGUGUUAUGGCCCUGGACACAAUUUAUGUGGAAUAUUUGCUACGCGGCUUUGUCAGGAGCAUCAAGCAAAACCCAGUGACUUUGGAGAAAGUAAUGCUAUCUGAUACAGGUUUACUCACCAUCAAUGGAGUCAACAACCGCCACAGACCCAUACUCGCCCCUAAGAGCAGGAAGUGACUUGUUACGAGGCAAGCACUUGAGACCUAACACUGCAAAUAGUGCAAGCAGUGUACCAGCAGAGAUAAUCUUCAAGGCGUCAUUUCUGGAAUCAUGGAUAGCGUCUCCAGCAACACUUCCUUGGGCGAGUUUUUCAAGAGAUUUAUCAAGAUCAUCACUUGGGAUAUCCUUGCCUGACAUGUCUAGCUGUUCUGUCAAUGGGAAAACCUUACUGAAAGCUUGAAGAGCACUUGAUUUUACAGUACCAAGCGCAGCAGUAGCUUGAGCACCAAGUUUUGCUAUAGCGGCAGCUGCAGCUAAAUGGGAAGCACCACCGCCUUCCAUCCUUUCUAAGUAGCUUAGAACUUUUGGGUCGUCGUAAUAGUCUCCCAGUCUGAACUGCGUCCCUCGGGUAUCUCUGCUCCUUGGGAAUACCUCGGAGACAAGCCAUGUCUCCAAGAGCUUGCACAGCCCUGGAAGAAGAUCAUUCUCUUCGUUCAUGCUAGAGUUAUUCACCACAAACUCGAUAUUUUUGGGGUCCCUAUAUGACGAGGACUCAUUAUCAAUUCCAAGCCACAUUCUGCAAUUGCAAAUAUCCCCCACAAGUAACGAGCAGAGUGCCCUUUCUAAUGCGAGGUCCAUCUCGUUUUCAUAAGGAUAUUGAGAACCUAUAUUGAACUUCUGAAGUUGUUCGAAGAGUUCAUCUGCCAUCAUGAUGAAUUGUGGCCUUUUACUUGCAAUUGCUUGAGCAAUGUGGGCAAGUGCGACACUAUAGAUCUCAAACCAUUCAGGUGGUAUGCUAUUCGGUGUUUUAGAGAAGAAAUCCAUCUGAGAUAUAAACAGAAAAUGAGUGAAGACUUCUAAAAACUGUGUUCAAGUAAAAUGGACAGACUACACACUACAGUAUGUUGCUCAUUAAACUUGGUAGACACAAACCUGCUCAGCUGAUGUCAUCUGCAAGAAAGCCUCAUUCAUGAAGGCCUCACGAGAAAAUCCUCCUCCAACAGUAGCAAUACCACCCCUGCCAACACUCCACAAUAUGUUUUUUGCACCUUGCAGACCUUCUUGGCGUUUAUUUUUAUGUUUUUCAUCAGUAGGAAGAGCAAGAAGCUCCAAUACACAACGAGGUGUAAUCUCCUCCAAAGUUUCAUCAAUCUGUGCAAGCAGUUCAGGUGCAAGAUUGCUUGCACCAUCCUCCUAAAGUAAAAUGUUUCCAUUAGUAGUGCUUACCAAGAUAUCUCUAAUCAAGACAGAACCUACAAAACCUUCACACGCUGAUCUAAUAACAAGUGAAAAUAAACUGACAGCUAAAAAUGCAGCAGACAUUUUUUGUGCUAGCAGCUUGCAAUAAUGGGAUGAUAAUUUUAAGAAUAAGAGGAGAAAGAGAAAAAACUAGAGCAUUUCAUUAUCUCUAUACAGCAGUUCCUAAUAGUUUCAUACCAGAUUGGUUUUACAGUGAAACAGUAUUAAUGGCUGUGCCAUGAUGUAGCCAAUGGUUUCAGGCUUUUUAUAACUGAUACUGAUGCAAGGCCUACUGAGAUCUAAAGUGCAGUGAGAAGUACUAUUGAACUAAUGCUUACCCAAAGUGAUUUUGUUUACCAAAGAAAACAAGUGGUAAUCGGUAUCAACAGCAAACAAUUAUAUAAAACCUGGAGCAUGUUCAUCUACAAAAUAUGGUAUGUACUGCACACAUAUUUCGCCCUAACAGUGAACAUGUCACAUUAAGAUUAAAACAACUGUAUGUACACAGCCACCUUAAGACAUAUUGGAUCUGCAACCUUAAAGCAAGUUAGUUCACCUGCAGGAGCUUCAGUGCCCUCUCAAGCACCUCACAACAGCAGAUUACAUCUGGAGGGCUUGCUGCCAUAGCAUCCCUUGAUAUGUCCACAUAAGCCAAUGCCAUUGCUAGCACCACAUCCUGCUUGAACCGCUUAGGUGGACGGUCCUGAAGCAAGUGCUCUCCAGUUGCUAACACCAGUUGUGCCUCCCCAGCCUCCUGAAGCACACACAGCACACCUGGAACCUGCUUGGCAAGUUUCCGGAGAGAGGCAGCAACAAGUUACACGCCAGCGCUAUUUACAGAUUCUACAAGAAACAGAUAGCAUUGUUCGCACGUUUGCUGUCCCAUAACCUCACCUUAUCCCAGGCAACAUCCAUGGUGAGUGCCGCAUCACGGUCCUCGGAAAGCGCACGGUCGUACUCGGUGCGCGAGCUCUGGUUUGUGAGAGUAUCAUGGGCAAUCUGCAGCAUUUGCCGUCGCCCAACAAGAGCUUCUGUGCUGUACCCAUACUGAGGUGGCUUAGCUAUCCGCGACUCGAACGCCCUCCGAAUGCCAUCGCCUAGGAAAUGUGGCUCCGCACCAAGAAUCUGAGCAUAUAGACACCCAUCAGAUCACUUCGCAAAAUCAAGCAUGCAAGAUUGCAGGUUAUUAUGCUUAUCCCAGCCAUUGGAGUGCAACUCUCUACAGAAGAUCGUCUAUUCCGUAUUAAAUAAGGUGCGAUGUAGGUUGCCAGAUACGAUGGAUUUUUUGAAACCCAAAUAACUAGUAACACUGGUAUUAGUCCAUCAGACAUGGUGGAAAGCAGUGACAAAUGCAUUUUUUCAUGAGACUCGUGUGCUCCAAAGCCUAGCAAGAAAUCUAAUAUGGAACUUACUGAACCUGGUGUCAUAUCCAGCUAGAUAGUUCAUAAGAGCAUCUCAAAAAGAGGCUCUAAAUGUGGCUCUAUUUUAAAUAUAGGGCUAAUCGUAAAACACUCUUCCAACAGCGGCUUUAUUUUAUAAAAAAUCAUCAAACGAGUAUAGGACUCAAUCUCUCAGGUCCUAAAUAUAGUACCCGAUGUACUUGAGCCCUAUCCUCGUUUCUUCUUAAUCUUCAACCAUUUAUUUCCUAAUAACAUGAUUUAUUUCAUAAAUAGCACUAUUUAAGCCCUAACUGUUGGAGUAGAAAUUUCUAUUGAGGUCCUAAACACUCUAAAUGCGGUUCUAUUUCAAUUUUUAAAACUCCAUUUUAGAGUUUAUUGUUGGAGAUGCUCUAACCUACUAGAAACGGAACAGUCAAAGCGGAUACUGAAAUGCGGCGUUUGUAAGAGCACUAUUCCCCCCUGCUACUGCUAACAAGGCUCCCCCAUUUUUGUCCCCAGCGAUUACCCACGGGUGUGACUCACAGCCUGACCUUGUAGAAGUCGACCGGGAGGGGCAAGGCGCGGUCGGCGGCUUCGGGGAAGAUCGGGACGAACGGGGACGAGGAGGAAGAGGAGGCCGCGGCUGGCGGGUCGGCGGCGGCGGGGAGGAGGUGGAAGUCGGCGAAGAGGCGGUCGGCCCAGCGGCUGGCGGCGCGGCAGGUGGAGGGGCCAGGCGGUGGCGGCCUGUGGCUCCUGCGGAGGGGCAGCGGUGAGAAGGCGAACGGCGCGGAGUUGGGCCGGGCCAGGAGGCUGUGAACGCCCUCCAUUGCCGGCGGGGGCGGCGAGCCUGUGAGCGAGAUGGUGGAUUAUGCACAGGACCUGCCAGACUGAUACGGUAGUGUCGUAGUGUCAAGUGUUUUAGGGCUGGGAACACUGGGCGUGUUCGGCUGGCUACAAGCCGACACUGUUGCAGCUGUUUGGACUGCUGCAGCUGCAAUCCAUAGAGAGAAAAAUACUGUAGAAGCCGCAGCCGCAGCCGGAUUGCAGCCGCAGCAAGCCGCAGCGAACAAGCUGAGUCAGCAAAAAAGCCGACACUGACUUUUAAGACUACAAGCUGACACUGACUUUUAAGCUGAGUCAGCAAAAAAGCCGACACUGACUUUUAAGCCGCAAGCCGCAGCGAACAAGCUGAGUCAGCAAGCCGCAGCGAACAAGCCGACACUGACUUUUAAGACUACAGUCUAUAAUACCACAUUUUAGUAUUUUACUGAAUAUCACAACACAACAACUAUGAUAUCCAGAAUCUUACUGCAACCACGCGCCAGCAAAAAAAAAACUUUGAUCCAAAUUAAAGUUUUUUCCCUAAAAAUAUUGUAGUAUCGAUGGAACUAUGGUUUAAAAUACACCGUUCUUAUAUGUGUUCACUAGUUGAGUGCCUGUGCGUUGCAACGAUAUAAUAACACGAUAACUUAUGUAUAUGUAUUAUAUUGUUAGAGGUAUGUGUUCAUGUGUUGCAACGGAAGUAAAAAAUUUAUAUGAAACAUUGAUACGGAACGGCAAACAUCACUAUAAUACGUAUGUGCCCGUGCGUUGCCACGAGAGUUAAAAAUUAAUGUAAAACAUAGAUACAGAACGAUAAAUAUCACUAUAAUAUGUAAAAUCUAUCUGACAAAUAUCAUCAUAACUUUAAUAUUAUAUUGACGAUACAAAUAUGUAAUAUUAUUAUAGAUACGCCGACUUAAAUGGAAUGAACUGAUGUCAAACGAACAUUAUAAUAUCGUAUAAAUUAUUUCUAAAAAUCAAUAUAGAAUUUCGAAUAAUAGACAAAUAUAUCGAUAGAUAUGCAAUAGACCCAAACUAAACAGGCGCGUAGCAUCUUCAGUUCAGGUCCUCAAUCUUGGUAUCUCUUCCCUAGGUUGUUGCAGGCUGCUCAAAAUACGGUAACAACCCAAGUGAGUUCGAUUAAAUCCAAUGCCACAUGAGCAAAAGAACAUGCAAUCCAUCAUCACAUGAACAAAUUAUGGGCCGAGUAAGUCAAACAUGUUGUACAUAAAAAUUUUACCGAAGAGCAGAGGGUCAGCGAGGAGCUGAGGAGCGACAUCUUCCUUCGUCGGCAAGGAGCUGAGGAGCCAAGUAAGUCAAACAUUCUGUAAUGAGUCUGUGAAGAAGCUCUCAAUCUCAGGCCAUGUUUGAGUAGCAACAAUCGAACAUAUAAUAGAACCAACAUUUGAUCCUGCUAUAAUCCGAGGCAGAAGCUUAUGCUCGACCAAUGUUUUCACUACACCUACGUGGAAAGACCCAGUGAAGCACCCCCACUCAAGAGCAGCUGUCCUCCCAAAGGCAUGUCUGGUCUCCUGGACAGAGGCAAUCUUCUCUUCCAAUAGCUAUGGCAGAUAACUACAGAAGUCCAGAUCUUACAAGUGGAGGUAGUGCAACAGUCCAAGAUCUUUUCUCUAUAAAACCAUGAGUCAUACAGGAAUACUAAAAAAUGAGCAAUCCUAAGUUAACACCUUAUUAACACUAUUGUCUUAAUGAGCAAGACUAAAAAUGCAAAGAUCCCAUUUCUGAGCUGAUUUCUUUGUUGUAUAAUUCUUUGAAGAGUUAAUCUGUGACUUACAUAGCCUUAUAAGUUAUAAAAACUAUGAAAUACAUGUCCAAUACUUUAUACAGGUUUCUACACACAGAAUACUGAGCUAUCACUAACUACAGUUUCAUCAACCAAGAAAAAUUAUGGUCAGCUAUAGCUAAAAGAAGAGCAACAGGCCAACAAGUAUUUACUUACCAACAGUUUGAUCGUCCCAAAAUCGCAUGUCUCCCUGAGUUAUAUGUUAAGCUAAAAAAUCCAGUCAAGUAAAUUUUGCAAACUGAAUGUGAAGAAUAUGGAAGUUAGUAGGUUGACGAUAGAGGUAGUUUGUUUCAGUAGUGAUAGCCUAAUAAUCACGUUGCCAUCUUGCUCGUCCCUCCACCCAUUCCUCCUUCACUGCAACACAUGCAAAGAUAAAUGAACACCAAACCCAAAUCAAUUUGGAACCAUGAAUGCGACACAGAAAUGAACACACCCUAAUUUCCAAAAUAAAUCCAACAGUUUAAAAAAGUAAUUAUGACAUAAACUUGAUAUGGAAACAGAAGCUAAGCAUUAGAAUCCUUGCUAGGCCAUUUCUGUGACGCAUUAGGUUUUUUUUCUCUUUGAAAACAGGUUACCCCGCCGGAGGCACUCUGAUCCCAUCUCUGGUUACAGUGCAACCUGAUUUCAUUACCAUGUGCGUGUUGAACCAAACAUGUGACAAAUGGCAUAGUGCAUGCAGUUCGUUACCAUUUGCGUUGUCGCAGCCGAAAAAAGACAGUGCAUGCAGUUCAGUGACAGAGAAGGAAAAAAGGGACUUAUUGAUCUCCACGGUGAGAUACCAGCAAGACAUUCUUUUAUUACAGGUGGCCGCUGACAGAUUUCUCAGAGCUACUCAUACAGUAACGCAAGUACGCAACAGGAGUUUCUUCCUCGCAGCUUCUCACCAGAAAAGCCUACACAGCACAACAACAUCUCGCGCGGUCACUGGUACUAACUGGCGAGCUGGCCUUCCUUGACGAUGUAGUUCUGCACCGGGAAGUCCUCGCCCUUGAAAUACCUAUCCAGCAUGUCCCUCACACCAUCCGCAUACCGCAGCUGUAUGAAUUGUUUGUUUGCCC
rnacentral:lncRNA from 1 species